CUCCACCUCCACUCAUCCGGCAUCCUUUUAGUCCUGAAGAUCGCAUUGAACAACCUGGAGAGUCACUCCACUGCUGACCUACCAUCCAUUUCUAGAACUCCACCGGGAUCUCGUCAGGCCCGGCGCUCUACCCCUACUCAUCCUACGCAAAGCCCCCAUGGCCUCCUCUACCCUAAUGCGCCUGUAGUACCCAAGGUCUCUAUGUUGCUCUGAAUUCCCCAACUCCCCUAGCU
rnacentral:lncRNA from 1 species